rnacentral:tRNA from 1 species
UAGAAUGAAGUUCGCCGGAUAGAAUAUUUAGCUGUUAACUAAAAUAUUGCGGGAUCGAGGCCCGCCAUUCUAG